rnacentral:snoRNA from 1 species
CCGCACUGCCUUUGACCCAGCGGGGUGCCCUGCCUGUGGUGCCGCUGGCCAAGCUGCAGUGCUAGAGCAAAGUGCCUGUUCAUAACUGGGGCUGCUCGGCCUGACCCGAGUGGCUCCUUUAAAAGCAAGUGACAGCU